rnacentral:lncRNA from 1 species
GAAUAUGAGUAAAAACGUAUGUUUGAUUGAUUGAUAGAUAGCUCAUUACAAAGCCCUAGGGUCCAUAUUUAUACCCUGUUCAAAGAGCUAUAACUAAACACGACCAGAAUUCGAAUUCCAAAUUACACGGAAUCCGCAUACAAAACGAUUUAAACAAAUAAGGAAAUAACUCAGUUAUCCCUCGUGACAAACUGAAACUCUUCCACAACCCGAUCAGCAGCUUCCAGACUCCCCCUCUGUAUCAUCGGCAGACUCUUUCGCCACGGUCAUCGGCAGACCUCCUCAUCAUAGUCAUCGGCACAGACACGUCAUCACCUGUAAACUUAGUCACGUCCAACCUCUCCUUUAUCGGCAAC